ACGGGGAGGUUUGGCACCUCGAUGUCGGCUCAUCGCAUCCUGGGGCUGAAGAAGGUCCCAAGGGUUUGGCUGUUCGCCAAUUAAAGCGGUACGUGAGCUGGGUUCAGACCGUCGUGAGACAGGUCGGUCCCUAUCUGGUGUGGGUGUAGGAUGAUUGCGAAGGUUCUCCCCUAGUACGAGAGGAUUGGGGAGGAGGACCCUCUGGUGCUCCAGUUAUCACGCUAGUGGUACAGCUGGGUAGCUACGGUCCGAACGGAUAAGCGCUGAAAGCAUCUAAGCGCGAAGCCCUCUUCAAAACGAGUCAUCCCCAUCAGCCCCCUGGAAGACUACCAGGUUGAUAGGCCGGCGGUGUAAGCAUGGCAACAUGUUCAGCUUACCGGUACUAAUCGGGCGAUCGGCUUAUCCAC
rnacentral:rRNA from 1 species